GAUGAACGCUAGCGGCAGGCUUAAUACAUGCAAGUCGAGGGGCAGCAGGUCCCGCAGCAAUGCGGGAUGCCGGCGACCGGCAAACGGGUGCGGUACACGUACAGAACCUUCCUUUACGUGGGGAAUAGCCCGGGGAAACCCGGAUUAAUACCCCGUAACAUAAUGAACUGGUAUCACUUUAUUAUUAUCGCAGCAAUGCGCUUGAAGAUGGCUGUGCCGCUGAUUAGGUAGUUGGCGGGGUAACGGCCCACCAAGCCUACGAUCAGGAACUGGUGUGAGAGCGCGACCAGUCACACGGGCACUGAGACACGGGCCCGACUCCUACGGGAGGCAGCAGUAAGGAAUAUUGGGCAAUGGACGCAAGUCUGACCCAGCCAUGCCGCGUGGAGGAUGAAGGUCCUCUGGAUUGUAAACUUCUUUUAUCUGGGAAGAAACCUAUUUUUUCUAAAGUAAUUGACGGUACCAGAUGAAUAAGCACCGGCUAACUCCGUGCCAGCAGCCGCAGUAA
rnacentral:rRNA from 1 species